CCAACUCACAAAAUCUUUCAGGCCCAAAUUUCCUCUCUUCAUCACCUUUUCUACCGAGAGAAAGUCGGCACAAUCAGAACAACAAAGACCAACAUGAGGAAUUUGGUAGAUGGUCUAGACUAUCGGCUCUCGCCUUUGUUGACAAACUAAUGUAAAAUGAGAAGAAUGAGGUGAUUGUUGUAGAAAAUUACUCCAAUGGAUCAAAGGAUAAUCUAAAGCAACGGAUUGAUCAUCCAAGAUUUGAGCUAAUUCGUGAAGGUAAGGUACUCCUUGUGUUUGCUUCUACAAAUGUGUAUGGAUUUCUUGUUAUUCAUGAGUACUUUUGAUCAAAUGAAUAAAGCAUCUAAGUAAUUCCAACAUGUUUGUUUAACCAUGAUUAUCAGUGAAAAUCUAGAGAUUAAAUUUUAGCUAGCAGUUCCGACUUUGAGUUAAGACUUAUCUGAAGCAUCUAGAUAUUUCUUAUCAUUAUAAAAAAAAAUUCAAUGACUAGUCAGAAUUAUCUCUGUUAUACUCCUUCUUGUUUCCCUUUUCAUGCAUGGCCUAUUUGGGUGCAAACGAGCACGGUGAAGAAAAUUUCUUUCACUGGUGAAUAUGUGGGCAAAGGUUUCAAGAUUGUUGUGUUGGUAUGAUAGCAUUGAGGGCGUUACUGAUACAGAUACUAAUGGAAUUCAUGUCUGCAAAAUUUGAUUAAGUCCCUUAACAAAUUAGACGUUGAACUUAGUGAUGUGGAGAGCUAGUCUACUUCCCCUCAUGGAUGUAAGAGUAGCAUCAAGCGAUAACAAUGCAAAUCACCAAGCAAGUACAUUGCACUUUGUAUAUUUAUUUAUUGAGGAUGAGGAUCUACUCUUUAUUGUAUAAUGUUUAAGUUAUCAUACAUUUAUUUGUAUAAUUUUAGUUUGAUAUGAAUUUGAAAUUGUGA